CCGGCCGCUCUCGUCACAGCCAGGGCCGACUGCCCUGAGGGUGCUCACGCCGAGCGUCACGGCCCAGCCAUGCGGGACCGCAGGCGUCCGGCGCGCGCUCCAAGCCGGCCGCCUUUCUGCCCGCGCGAUGACUCAGCCGCUUCCGCUCCCCAGUCUGCGCAGCUGCGGCCGCCUUCCGCCAGGGGCCCUGCCGCCUCCCGCCGUUCCGGGGCUACCGCGCGGCGGCCUCUACCCGGAGCGGCCUUCCGCACGGCCCCGGAAGGCACGGGCAGCCUGAUACACGACCUCUGCGCUCCUACGUUCUGGCGUUGCAAGGCGUUUCCCAGCAAAUUGAGGCGCUGAAGCAUCGGCGCAGGAAAACACAGGAGUUAGGCUCCGACUUAUCGAGGCCUCGGACCUGAGUUGGAAGCUCAUCACUUGGGGCAGGAUCUCCCUAUGUGGUGACAAAGAUGGCCAUCAGCAGCUCCAGGUUCCAUUCUACCAAUUUAGUAACCCAUCUGAAUGCACCUCUUUCUUAAUAAUUCCUUUUGAAAUCCCAGCUCUGAAAUCAUAGAGUGAAUCAGCCCUUUUCCAUUUGCUCCUGUCUGACCAACCUUUGGAAAGAUCGAAUUGUUUAGACUUGGAGUAUCUGCUCCUCCUCGUUCCUAACACUGGGCCCAGGGGCGUGAGGUGUUGUGAUGGACUGGUGAGCCAACUCUGUUGCAGCAGGGAGGGAUGUACUCAAAAGACAAGGACUUCAUUUCGACAUAGCCAAUGUCUAUCAUAGUGCUGCUUGGUGAUGCCAUUUCACUGUAGAAAGAUUUGAUUCUUUGCUGUUUAA